rnacentral:lncRNA from 1 species
UGGUUCCUCUUAUAAGAAUGUUAAUAGUUUAUUCUGUUGAUUAUCACUACCAGCUUAUAUAUGAUCAUCAUUGUUGCCUCUGAUUUCUCCUUAGGAAGUGAGGAGUCUUUUAAGAAGAUAGAAAGUUACUUUAUUCAAACUUGUGCAAUACUUGUGAUAUUUUAAAAUUGGAUGUGAAAAAUGAUUUCACAUUCUAUUCCUUAAUCUAGUUCUUUUCAUAAAGAAAGGUGAAGGUUCAAGUGUUCAAUAAAAUGUAGGAAUAUUAGAAAAGUAUAAAGGAAAUAAAACUGUUACUCAUUUGGGGGGAAAAGUGAGACAGUAGAAUUUGAUAAUUGAAAUAUUAACCACAUAUUUGGUGACAUAUCUUCAAAAAUGGUUGUUUCAGGUUGUUAUAUCCAAAAGAUUGAGAUAUACCAUGUUAUGAAAGUAGUAAGAAUAAAAACUAAAGUUUCUUCUAAAUGCAAGGAUCUAGUAAAUACAGAUUGUCCGGUUGUGAGAUGUCCAAAGUGCACAUAUACAUGUGAGUGCUUUGGAGAAUUAGUUUUAUCUGUACUGGAAGUAUCAUACAUUGUAGUUAACACUGUAGUUCCUGGAAUUCUGGUUUUCAUGAGUUGCUGAAUAAGUACAUAGUUCAUCAGCACCUUCACCUCCACUCCAUUACACCUCAGAGGUGUAACCUAUUAUCUGCCAUCACUAACAUUUCAUGGAAGAUUAGUUUGUCUUUUCAGAAAUUUUAAAAAUAUGUAAGGUCUGAUGACU